UACGUAGGUCCCGAACGUUGUCCGGAUUUAUUGGGCGUAAAGCGAGCGCAGGUGGUUUAUUAAGUCUGGUGUAAAAGGCAGUGGCUCAACCAUUGUAUGCAUUGGAAACUGGUAGACUUGAGUGCAGGAGAGGUGAGUGGAACUCCAUGUGUAGCGGUGAAAUGCGUAGAUAUAUGGAGGAACACCGGUGGCGAAAGCGGCUCUCUGGCCUGUAACUGACACUGAGGCUCGAAAGCGUGGGGAGCAGACAGG
rnacentral:rRNA from 1 species